GACGAACGCUGGCGGCGUGCUUAACACAUGCAAGUCGAACGGAAAGGCCCUGCUUUUGUGUCUUUCUCGUUUGGCGAACGGGUGAAUAACACGUGAGUAACCUGCCCUUGACUUUGUGAUAAAUUCAGGAAACUGGGGCUAAUACCCGAUAUGAGCUCCUGCUGCAUGUUGUGGGUUGGAAAGUUUCGGCGGUUGUGGAUGGACUCGCAGCUUAUCAGCUGGUUUGUGUGGUAGUGGCUUACCAAGGCUUUGACGGGUAGGCGGCCUGGGAGGGUGACCGGCCACAUUGGGACUGAGAUAGGGCGCAGAAUGCUACGGGAGGCAGCAGGGGGGAGUAUUGCAGAAUGGGCGGGAGCGUGAUGCAGCAGCGCUGCGUGCGGGAUGACGGCCUUCGGGUUGUAAACAGCUUUCGACUGUGAUGAAGCGUGAGUGACGGUAAUGGGUAAAGAAGCACCGGCUAACUACGUG
rnacentral:rRNA from 1 species